GACGAACGCUGGCGGCGUGCUUAACACAUGCCAGUCGAACGGAAAGGCCCUGCUUUUGUGGGGUGCUCGAGUGGCGAACGGGUGAGUAACACGUGAAUAACCUGCCCUUGACUUUGGGAUAACUUCAGGAAACUGGGGCUAAUACCGGAUAGGAGCUCCUGCUGCAUGGUGGGGGUUGGAAAGUUUCGGCGGUUGGGGAUGGACUCGCGGCUUAUCAGCUUGUUGGUGGGGUAGUGGCUUACCAAGGCUUUGACGGGUAGCCGGCCUGAGAGGGUGACCGGCCACAUUGGGACUGAGAUACGGCCCAGACUCCUACGGGAGGCAGCAGUGGGGAAUAUUGCACAAUGGGCGGAAGCCUGAUGCAGCAACGCCGCGUGCGGGAUGACGGCCUUCGGGUUGUAAACCGCUUUCGCCUGUGACGAAGCGUGAGUGACGGUAAUGGGUAAAGAAGCACCGGCUAACUACGUG
rnacentral:rRNA from 1 species